GUUUGAUCCUGGCUCAGGAUGAACGCUAGCGGCAGGCUUAAUACAUGCAAGUCGAGGGGCAGCACGGUAGCAAUACUGGUGGCGACCGGCGCACGGGUGCGUAACACGUAUACAAUCUGCCUUUAACAGGGGGAUAGCCCGGAGAAAUCCGGAUUAAUACCCCAUAACACUAAGAGUAGCAUUACUUUUGGUUAAAAGCUCCGGCGGUUAAAGAUGAGUAUGCGUCUGAUUAGCUAGUUGGUGAGGUAACGGCUCACCAAGGCGACGAUCAGUAGGGGAUCUGAGAGGAUUAACCCCCACACGGAUACUGAGACACGGAUCCGACUCCUACGGGAGGCAGCAGUAAGGAAUAUUGGACAAUGCCCGCAAGGGUGAUCCAGCCAUGCCGCGUGCAGGAAGAAGGCCCUAUGGGUCGUAAACUGCUUUUACACCGGAGAAAACCUCCCCUCGUGAGGGGAGCUGAUAGUAUGGUGAGAAUAAGCAUCGGCUAACUUCGUGCCAGCAGCCGCGGUAAGACGAAGGAUGCAAGCGUUAUCCGGAUUCAUUGGGUUUAAAGGGAGCGUAGGUGGACUGAUAAGUCAGUGGUGAAAUCUCCGAGCUUAACUCGGAAAUUGCCAUUGAUACUGUUGGUCUUGAGUAUAGUUGCCGUUGGCGGAAUAUGACAUGUAGUGGUGAAAUACAUAGAGAUGUCAUAGAACACCGAUUGCGAAGGCAGCUGACGAAACUAUAACUGACACUGAGGCUCGAAAGUGUGGGGAUCAAACAGGAUUAGAUACCCUGGUAGUCCACACUGUAAACGAUGAUUACUCGCUG
rnacentral:rRNA from 1 species